GCUUAUAAAUUACCCAGUCUCAGGUAGUUCUGUAUAGCACUGUGAAAACAGACUAAUACAGAAACUAAAUAUAAUGAUCUUUGUAACGGGGAUAAUAUUCUUAAAAUAUUAAUUCUUUGUGUAUUUAUUACCUCUUCUUCUAAAUUAUGUCUCACAGCAGCCACUCCACAUUUUGAGCCCAAAGAAACAGAGUGAGUAAAUGCCACUUUGGGCAUCAGGAGUAAGUGAUGAUGUGUGUGUGACUGGGGACAGCAGGAGGGGUCCUCCCAUCAGACUGAAGGAGGAAAAUGCAAGUGUGCUCUUCUACCCCCCAGCAGGUUGUGAGAAGUGUAAAAGAGCUGGAGGAGGAGAAAUAAUGGACAUGCAUGCCUCCGACUCUCUCUCAGCCAAAGUUCAUUGCUGCAUAACAAGUUAGCAGCUUGUUAUUUAAACCACAAAUUUAGCAGCUUAAAACAAUGGACAUUUAUUAUCUUACAGUUUCUGUGGAUCAGGAUUAGCUGGAUCCUCUGCUUAGGGUCACACAAGACUACAACCAAGAUGGCAGCUGGGCUGCAUUCUCAUCUGGAGGCAUGACUGGAGAAGAAUCCAUAUCCAAGUUCACUCAGAAGCAAUCACAGGUCCCACCCCCACAACUCAAGAGGAGGGGAUUAUACAAAGGUAUGUGCACCAGGAUGUGAGGAUCAUAAGGAAUCACCUUAGAGCCUGUCUGCCACAAAACCAAAAGAAAAGAGGCCCUUGUCCUUCUCUGAAUCUCUGAGAAGAAACCUUGCAGAGUACUGUCCCCACCCCCACACCCAACACGUGGUGGCCGUAUCAGAGCAAAGUCAUGAUUAGGCUGAAAGCAGGCCUGAGUUGGUUUGCUGGAGUCUCCAUCCUUGUAUGGAAAAUACUCAGAAAUUCCUGGAUGCUCUUUAGGAGGAACGAGAAAGUAACUGACUUGCUGAACAGUCAGCUCGCCAGAGUGGUCACCAUGGGGGAGCAAAAUGACCCUGUGGCCAAGGGCAGCCAAGGCCAGAGAGCAAGUGGUAGUCACAGCCAAGCCUCAGAAGGAUACACAGCACCAGCUGGCUCAAAAGAGAAGCCCACCAAGCCAUUUCCAAGCUGAGAAAAGAAGAGCUCUCAAGUUUCCAGCAGCAGCUGCCACAUGGGCAAGCACUAACAGUACAGGGAAAGGACACAACCCAGCAGGACCAGUGAGGACUCCGAGAGCAGCCAGAGGCCUGCACAAAGACUUGUGGGGCCACCUCUGGGCUACAGAGUAAACUCACCCAUCGACCCUCUUGAGCGUGAGGAUUCUGAAAGCCUGAGCAGUUACCUGAAAGGAACUAUUUUAAACCAAAAGGAGACUGACAUAUUGUUAAUUGGCUCAUUUAAAGUUCACAUUUGUUUCCCUGCUACCCCAGGGCUGGAGGAUCUUGAAGAAAAUUCAAUCAGUUAUAGAGAAAUAAAGGAGUACAUUUUCUUUGCACA
rnacentral:lncRNA from 10 species